UAAAAACGGAAAACCAACAAAUAUCUUAAAAUUUGAUCAAUAAUGCAGACAAUUUAUAAAUGUCUUGUUUUUUGUUGAUUUCGAAUCUGGAAGAUUUUUUACGUAAGAUUGUAGUACGAAAAUCCAACGGUAUCGGAUUUUGUGGUUUUAGGCCUAAACUAAUUAUAGUGAUAUGUAACCUUUCGGGAUAUCGGUAAAGUGCGAGCAGACGAGGUGUAAAUACGUUAAAACUUAAAGCUAAAAGACUAAAACGUUAGAUCGGAAUAUCUUUAAAUUUUGUGAAUAAAUGUGUUUCUGGUGGAUAACAACGACAACUUACCAGAAUAUUGCUCAUAAUCACACGUAAAACGUCUUUCUGAGACAUUGUGUACACACCGGUCUUACUCACAAUAACGAAGUGACGUCACCAUCUAUGUAUAGAAUGCUUUCUGAGAGCAAUGUGUCACACCGGUCUUACUGACAAUAACGUAGUGACGUAACCAUUUAUGUAUAGAAUGUUCUGAGAGCGAAUGAAAAUGCGUCACAUAUUCUGACAAAUAAACAGUAGGGUGUCGUUAUUGAAAUACCGCGAGAAUACUGGAAGAACAGAGAUGCCAACUAUAAAGUUUAAAACAAAUAAUUUUUUAACAAGCGUUUGUGAUUUGUCAGGAUAAUAAUAACAAUAAGAUAUCGAAAAGAUCAAAGCAAAUAAAUUCGACAGAAAUCUGAGAUUCGGCAAUAUAUUAAAGACGGGUUAUGUUCACUUAAAUUGUGUUUGGUAAAGACUGUAACUAUAGGUAGUGAACCAGUCUUCGGCUUAUACUCACUGAAGAAGAGCAUUCAGGGGAGAUAAUUGAGAAAUGACUUAAUUCUGGAACGGUUGCGAAGAAAAACAAAUAAUGCGAGAAUAUUUGGUGCGAUUCGCUACACAAUUAUGAUGUCAUUGAUAUAACUUUUCCUGAGGCCAUUAAUCAUUGCAGUGGAUUGGCUAUGGAUAUCAGAUAGCCAGGCAAAAACUGGGCAGUUAUUUUUAUGCUGGGGAGAGUGCAGAACCUGAAAACGCACGAGUCGUCAUGUUCCAUUCUUCUAUGGAAAAGGAUUCUGGAAAGCUGAAGGAGGUAAUUCUUUCCAGUUUACAAAAGCCGAUUUCAGAAUGCCCCAUUCAACUCAUAUUUUCAACAGUGGCCCUAUGCAUGGGAGUGGAUCUCCAACAUGUGCAGAGGGUUAUUCAUGCUGGUCCACCCACGUCACUUGAAAGUAUGUUUUAUUUCAACAUUUAGCAAUGAAGGGAUUUAUCACAUUUAAGUUAUUACUUAUUAAUUUACAAGUAAUUUUUAUGAGACCCUGGGUUAUACUUAUAUUAAAUUUCAUUAAAACAACUUCUAGAUUAUCAGAUACAUGACAUAAAUUUGCUCUGCAUUUAUCCAGGAUCAUGUACUGUUCCAUUCCUUAUUUGAGAAACAUAAUAAUUAUUAUAAGUA